CUGCCAGACUCCUACGGGAGGCAGCAGUGGGGAAUAUUGCACAAUGGGGGAAACCCUGAUGCAGCAACGCCGCGUGAGUGAAGAAGUAUUUCGGUCUGUAAAGCUCUAUCAGCAGGGAAGAAAAUGACGGUACCUGAGUAAGAAGCCCCGGCUAACUACGUGCCAGCAGCCGCGGUAAUACGUAGGGGGCAAGCGUUAUCCGGAUUUACUGGGUGUAAAGGGAGCGUAGACGGCGAUGCAAGUCUGAAGUGAAAGCCCGGGGCUCAACCCCGGGACUGCUUUGGAAACUGUAUGGCUGGAGUGCUGGAGAGGCAAGCGGAAUUCCUAGUGUAGCGGUGAAAUGCGUAGAUAUUAGGAAGAACACCAGUGGCGAAGGCGGCGUGCUGGACAGUAACUGACGUUGAGGCUCGAAAGCGUGGGGAGCAAACAGGAUUAGAUACCCCGGUACUA
rnacentral:rRNA from 1 species